GUCAGCUUGGCCGAGUGGUGAAGGCGUUAGACUUGUAUCCGAGGACCCCUCUCUUUAUCUAUAGGGCCGGAGUGAUCUAAUGGGGGUAGUACCCCGCGCGGGUUCGAAUCCCGCAGCUGGCA